GGUGCUGUGGCAUCGGUGGUUAAAGUGCCUGUCUAAUAAACAGGCGAUACUGGGUUAAAUUCCCAGCAGAGCCU